CCUACGGGAGGCAGCAGUGGGGAAUAUUGCACAAUGGGGGAAACCCUGAUGCAGCGACGCCGCGUGAAGGAAGAAGUAUUUCGGUAUGUAAACUUCUAUCAGCAGGGAAGAAAAUGACGGUACCUGACUAAGAAGCCCCGGCUAACUACGUGCCAGCAGCCGCGGUAAUACGUAGGGGGCAAGCGUUAUCCGGAUUUACUGGGUGUAAGGGGAGCGUAGGCGGCGAUGCAAGUCAGAAGUGAAAGCCCGGGGCUCAACUCCGGGACUGCUUUUGAAACUGUUUUUCUUGAGUACCGGAGAGGUCAUCGGAAUUCCUUGUGUAGCGGUGAAAUGCGUAGAUAUAAGGAAGAACACCAGUGGCGAAGGCGGAUGACUGGACGGCAACUGACGGUGAGGCGCGAAAGCGUGGGGAGCAAACAGGAUUAGAUACCCGGGUAGUC
rnacentral:rRNA from 1 species